GACGAACGCUGGCGGCGUGCCUAAUACAUGCAAGUAGAACGCUGAAGAGAGGAGCUUACUCUUCUUGGAUGAGUUGCGAACGGGUGAGUAACGCGUAGGUAACCUGCCUUGUAGCGGGGGAUAACUAUUGGAAACGAUAGCUAAUACCGCAUAACAAUGGAUGACACAUGUCAUUUAUUUGAAAGGGGCAAUUGCUCCACUACAAGAUGGACCUGCGUUGUAUUAGCUAGUAGGUGAGGUAAUGGCUCACCUAGGCGACGAUACAUAGCCGACCUGAGAGGGUGAUCGGCCACACUGGGACUGAGACACGGCCCAGACUCCUACGGGAGGCAGCAGUAGGGAAUCUUCGGCAAUGGGGGCAACCCUGACCGAGCAACGCCGCGUGAGUGAAGAAGGUUUUCGGAUCGUAAAGUUCUGUUGUAAGUCAAGAACGGGUGUGAGAGUGGAAAGUUCACACUGUGACGGUAGCUUACCAGAAAGGGACGGCUAACUACGU
rnacentral:rRNA from 1 species